rnacentral:rRNA from 2 species
CAUAGGUUAAUGAGGCGAACCGGGGGAACUGAAACAUCUAAGUACCCCGAGGAAAAGAAAUCAACCGAGAUUCCCCCAGUAGCGGCGAGCGAACGGGGAGGAGCCCAGAGCCUGAAUCAGUGUGUGUGUUAGUGGAAGCGUCUGGAAAGGCGCGCGAUACAGGGUGACAGCCCCGUACACAAAAAUGCACAUAUUGUGAGCUCGAUGAGUAGGGCGGGACACGUGGUAUCCUGUCUGAAUAUGGGGGGACCAUCCUCCAAGGCUAAAUACUCCUGACUGACCGAUAGUGAACCAGUACCGUGAGGGAAAGGCGAAAAGAACCCCGGCGAGGGGAGUGAAAAAGAACCUGAAACCGUGUACGUACAAGCAGUGGGAGCCUCUUAAUGGGGUGACUGCGUACCUUUUGUAUAAUGGGUCAGCGACUUAUAUUCUGUAGCAAGGUUAACCGAAUAGGGGAGCCGAAGGGAAACCGAGUCUUAACUGGGCGUUAAGUUGCAGGGUAUAGACCCGAAACCCGGUGAUCUAGCCAUGGGCAGGUUGAAGGUUGGGUAACACUAACUGGAGGACCGAACCGACUAAUGUUGAAAAAUUAGCGGAUGACUUGUGGCUGGGGGUGAAAGGCCAAUCAAACCGGGAGAUAGCUGGUUCUCCCCGAAAGCUAUUUAGGUAGCGCCUCGUGAAUUCAUCUCCGGGGGUAG